rnacentral:rRNA from 1 species
UACGUAGGGUGCGAGCGUUGUCCGGAAUUACUAGGCGUAAAGGGCAGGCAGGCGGAUCCAUAAGUUUAUCGUUUAAGGCGUCGGCUUAACCGGCGUAGGGCGGUAGAUACUGUGGAUCUGGAAUGCGGUUGGGGAAGACAGAAUUCCUGGUGUAGCGGUGGAAUGCGCAGAGAUCAGGAGGAAUACCGAAGGCGAAGGCAGUCUUCCAAGCCGUUAUUGACGCUCAUCUGCGAAGGUGUGGGUAUCAAACAGGAUUAGAUACCCGCGUAGU